rnacentral:rRNA from 1 species
GUAGGGAAUAUUGGACAAUGGGCGAAAGCCUGAUCCAGCAAUGCCGCGUGAGUGAUGAAGGCCUUAGGGUUGUAAAGCUCUUUUACCAGGGAUGAUAAUGACAGUACCUGGAGAAUAAGCUCCGGCUAACUCCGUGCCAGCAGCCGCGGUAAUACGGAGGGAGCUAGCGUUGUUCGGAAUUACUGGGCGUAAAGCGCGCGUAGGCGGCGAUUUAAGUCAGAGGUGAAAGCCCGGGGCUCAACCCCGGAAUAGCCUUUGAGACUGGAUUGCUAGAAUCCUGGAGAGGUGAGUGGAAUUCCGAGUGUAGAGGUGAAAUUCGUAGAUAUUCGGAAGAACACCAGUGGCGAAGGCGGCUCACUGGACAGGUAUUGACGCUGAGGUGCGAAAGCGUGGGGAGCAAACAGGAUUAGAUACCCCUGUAGUCC